rnacentral:lncRNA from 1 species
CCAUAAGUUAGACUCCUUUGUGUUCUAAGUCAUCCUAUUAAAGUCAUUGCUGCUUCAUAUCCCUGAGAGAAUAAAAUGUUUAUGAACCCCAAAUAGGGCCAACAGGUGACACAGAGCCCUUUCCCUUUAUGAAUUCAUGCAAAUUACAUCAUGACAAUUAUGACUUAAUCCCCAGGAUUCUAAACCCCUGGAAAGAGUUUUAGGCACAAGAUUAAGAGGUGGAUGGAACUGGAGGUCAUAUCUUAAAUGAAACAAGCCAAGCAAAGAAAGUCAAAUAUCACAUAUUCUCACUCCUAAGUAGGGACUAAAAAAUGUGUACACAUGGAUGUAGAGAAUGGAAUGAUUGACAGCAAUAUAGACACACAGAUGACCCAACAUGGAAAAUAAUAUAUUGUAAAAGUCAUUCAGUUGUGGGGAAAUGUGCAGAGAGGAUUCUAUUUGGACUUGUUAUAAAUAAGCAAGAUUGUAUCAACAAUCUAGAGAGCCUCUGAAGUGUAACUACCCUUUCAGCAUUUCAGAAGACCAUACACUAUUCCCGUUGAUGAGACUAUACAGGAUGAACAAAACAGAAAAAAAUUGUGUCCUCAUGGAGCAGACUGCAUAAAUUUUAUUCAGAAAAGAUAUGCUACAGAAGGUGACAGUGUUGGAGUGGAGUGACUGAAAUUAUACAUGUAGCCACAGGGAUAAAUUGAUUUUUGAAUAAAAUUCUGAAUGAGAAGUUAUAUGAAGCAGGCCUGGCACGGUGGCUCAUGCCUGUAAUCCCAGCACUUUGGGAGGCUGAGGAGGACGCAUCACCUGAAGUCAGGAAUUUGAGACCAGCCUGACCAACAUGGAGAAACCCCAUCUCAACUAAAAAUACAAAAUUAGCCUGGUGUGGUGGCGCAUCCCUGUAAUCCCAGCUACUCACGAGGCUGAGCCAGGAGAAUCACUUGAACCCAGGACACGGCAGUUUUGCAUUAUUGUUUUGUACUACUAAGCUUUGACACGAACUAUGGGGAAGAUCUAAAAUUAAUAUACAACCAUACCUCAAAAUAUUGCAGGAUCAGUUCCAGACCACUGCCAUGAAGUCAAUAUUGCAACAAAGUGCCCAAAAAUCAUGGUCUAGUUUUCCCUGCUUUCACCCUCACAACUGGAGGGUUCAUGGAGCUCUCCAGGGGAUGACGGUUGUGCCAUGCAGAGCAGCAUUUCUAAGCAAGUGUGAGUUCAUGAGUGUGAUUGAAACUGCUGUUUCACAUAGAAAGGCCUGCGUGCAGCAGGUUGCAAACAGGUCCUGAAGGGACGGCACAUCCCAGCUGGAGCGUGUGGCCCAUCUGCCCGAUUAGCACCGUGGCUGAAAGGAGCUGACAAGCAGCUUCUAUUUUUAUCUAAUCUUUAAAUUCCAGGAACCUCAUUUCACUAAAUCAUAGCUUUCGAGUAGGAUUGUAAAAGCUUUCCCUCUGCUCAUUCCUUUUUAAUCUAGGUUUCUCUCAAGAGCUCUACUCAUGGAAGGCUCUAUUCUGAUAAACUCUCCGUCUCCCCUGCCAUUACAACGUUGAAAUGAAAAUCCCCUGAGCUAAAAGUAAAACAAAACAGUGUCUAAGGAUAACUUAGAAAUUACUCAUACUGCUAAAGGUAUUUUAACAGAUUUAAGAAUUAAUAUUUCCUGUUUUUAUAUAGUUUUUGCAUUGGGCAUAAUGCAGUACAGUAUGCAAAGAUUAGUAUAUUUACAAUUGCUUUCACUACUUUUCUUAGAGGCAAUAAAAAU